CGCACAUUGCGCCCUCUGGCAUUCCGGGGGGCACGCCUGUUCGAGCGUCAUUGAAUCAAUCAAGCCCGGCUUGGUAUUGGGUGCCUCCGCUCGCGCGGAGGGCCCGAAUUGCAGCGGCUCGGUCGUCCGAGGAAGAACGCACUGAAAAACGAUCGCGCCCCGCGCGAUUCUCGUUCUUGCCCCCUGACGGCCGUCGCCGGAACUUGCGGCCCCGGGCCACAGCACACUGAAUUGACCUCGGAUCAGGCGGGAAUACCCGCUGAACUUAA
rnacentral:misc_RNA from 1 species